ACUGAGCCCUACUCGAAAUAACAGUCUAAACUUACUGUGGCUUCUCCCCGACAUACAAAGCUGCUCUUUCAGCCAAGAUGUAGCACUUAAACGUACUUUCUUGACCCCAGUUGCUAUUCAGACAUGGACAGUGACUGCAUCUUCUGAAUGCAUCUCAGGGCACUUCAGAAAGAGCUCACAAAACAUCCACAGCUUUUCAACAAAUAUCUAAGCGUGUGUAACAUCUUGCCGUUUCGACCGCACCCUUCGCAAUGGCGGCACUGGCAGCUGACAGCUCAUCCGUCUCCCGCUGCUGAUUUAUCGAGCCGUGUUCAGCAAGCGUUUGGGAUCUCCAAAAGUCUGGCAAAUGUGCACCCCCCAUGGAGCCCAUCUUGAGAGGCCUUGACAGCAUCCUGGCAAAUUCCUUCUUCCCACAUUGGAUUCUGCCUGCUGGCCAUGAGGCGCGUUUCUUCCUAAUAUGCAAGAUUACAGCCCCCAGCAACAACGGGGCUGCGGCCAAGGACGACGCCAGCGCAUUCAACGGCUUGUCUGUCAAAGCGCAUCCACGUCCUUGCUGGCCAACAAGACUCGCUCCUCCACCAAAGUGCCCCCGCUCAAUUAUUCAUCUAUUGAAAUGUGUUGGCUGUCAAGAAGCUUCUGAAAGCUGAUGCCAAACAUCCUCAGUCACGUCAGCGAUGUUUGCGCAAGCCCGCCCGCGGCGCGUCAACGCACGUCUCCACGGAGGAGAGGAGCACUUCACAGAGCCUUUGUGUGAGCUUUCCAUCCAGCGGCAUCCCCUCCUUGAACUUCUCCGCGGAUGCUUUAAAUGAUGAACCUCUUCCUCCCAAGUCAUCAGCGGAGUAUUUCUUCCCGGGGCGCAAUGCAUCAGCGACGCCGUAGCACCUGAUCCAAGGCGGGAAGCGCCACGCAAAUUCCAACCUUGACAGGAUGAUUCGCAGGUUGGAAGCAUCUGGAGGCAGCAGAAGAAGGCCAAGGCCACUCAAUUGUAUUUGCCCUACCCCUUAAAUAAACACCUUCAAUUAAAGCAGCGAGCAAAGAUGGGUGAACUACAGAACCUGUUUUCAGCCAAGGGACAUAAAAAAAAUCUCAUGGGAAAACUAGCAAACAAAUGUCACCAAGAGUGCUAACAGUGAUCUUGGUGACAUCCAAUCUUGCUCGGUAUCUUGGUCUGGGGGAGACGCCUUCACAUAUACACAUUAAAAUAUUGCACCCUUUGCAAAAAACAGACUUUUGGGGGGCCUUGUUGACAUCCUACAAAAAGGAGCUUAAUUUGUUGAGACAGCGAGAGACAGCAAGAGGGCCUUUGCAGCGUUUGGUGCUCGGGCCUUAAUUGGCGCAGUUUCAAAGCAAGCCGUUUGGAUGUUUCCUUGCCCAUAACUCGUCUUCCCAGGUGGGGAGUGCGUAUGUGUAUAAUUUUGCUAUUUACUCCAAAAUGAUGUUGCUGUUGCACUCAAUAUUUCCUCAGCAGGAAGUCAAAACAUUUUCUGGCUCUAAUGAUUUGGAAGUCCAUUUGGGUAAGAUUUAGGAUGAAGCAGUUUGUGGCAAAGGAGUCUUGUCGAAACACGAAAAUUAGCUGUUGCAUCACCAGAUUGUCUGUGCGUUGACCCGUUCAUAAUAAACUCGGCGAUCCUCUCAAAAACCUCUGAGUGUGGCUUCUAAAAACAUUUCGACAAGGAAAUGACUUUAUUGCUUUAAUUAGUCCUUCUUAACGCUAUUGAGCUGCGCGCCUGUGACCAUUGUGGAGCGAACAAGGCGAUAAAAGCUUCAAGAGCACAGAGACGCCGUCGGGUCAAUGCCUUCGACCGAGGCCUGAUGGCGCUAGUGUGAUUAAUGCUCGGCGAGGCCCUCAUUUGCUCGUCAGAGAGGCGGCCUGUAAAUAUUUACAGAUCGUAUAGAUUGUUUUAUUUGGGGCCAACGACUGCUGCGGAGAAUGAAGUUAUCCGCCGAUAGGUAAGCAGCAGCUGCCGUUGGAGCUGCGUGGCGCCGCCGCCCGUCGAGCUCCGGCAUGCCCCCCCAUCCUCCGCAUUUCCAUCUCGUGCAGCCCAUGCAUUUAAAUGGGAUGUUUAACUGAGCUGCAGUGGCCCCUUGGCGCCCAUGUUGGUCACUUGGACUUGAGCGGAAAGUGGACCUCACGUUCUUUUAGCUUCCCUUUUCAUUUAGUUGCCCCAGACAUGAUAAGUAAAAAUGUCAUUGUAGCAAAUGUGAUGUGCAUGAAAAAUGUGAUACAAAAAGUUAUACAGACAACAUACAAAACUGUGGCUGCAGAAUACUAAUUCACUUGAGAUAAAACUUUGACUUCUGUGACAUAAUAUGACUUAAAAGUGGUUCGGAACACGAAUAAAUGUCUAUGACUUUGUAU